rnacentral:rRNA from 1 species
CGAGCACGCGCGUGUGGCAUAUCAAUAAGCGGAGGAAAAGAAACUAACAAGGAUUCCCUCAGUAACGGCGAGUGAAGCGGGAAGAGCUCAAAUUUGAAAUCUUAAAGGUUCACCUUGCACGAAUUGUAGUUUAAAGAAGUGUUUUCUGUUAGAGAGGUGGUAAAAGUUCUUUGGAAUAGGACAUCAUAGAGGGUGAGAAUCCCGUAUUUGACCAUUAUUUCCAGCUGUGUGAUACGCUUUCAAAGAGUCGGAUUAUUUGGGAAUGCAGUCCAAAAUGGGUGGUAAAUUUCAUCUAAAGCUAAAUAUUGGCGAGAGUCCGAUAGCGAACAAGUACCGUGAGGGAAAGAUGAAAAGAACUUUGAAAAGAGAGUUAAACAGUACGUGAAAUUGUCAAAAGGGAAGCGUUUGACACCAGUGUUGUUUUUCCGAAAAUCAAUUAAGGAUGGCUGGAUUUUAAGUUUCAUGACCUUAAAAGCUUGUUGCUUAUUUUUCCGGUCUUUCUUAAUGCACUUUUCGGUUAACAAGUCAACAUCAAUUUCUUUUGUUGUAAAAGGUUAAGAGGAAGGUGGCUUUACUUUCGGGUAAAGUGUUUAUAGCCUUUUAACUCUGCAAUCGGAGAGAUUGAGGUCUGCAGCGUAGAUCCUUCGGGGCUAGAUACGUUUGUGCUAAGUUAUAGCUUUUCAUAGACAACUUGUUGACUAUGUUUAGUCUUGUAGCUUACUCGCUGACGCUAUUUUACCUACGCUUAGGAUGUUGAUGUGAUACUGCGAGCA